GGGCGCAUCGCUUUGCCUUCUUGGUCUUCGGCUCGGACAUUGGCACGCUGGACGGAAUGGACGCGGAAGCAUGGACGGGUCGGAUCGAGGAUCUUGGACUGUGUCGCGCUUGCUCGUCGUCCGCCAUCGAGAUAUGCUUCUACCAUCUUCGAGGCUUCCAUCCCUGCCCCCCUCCCCUCCCCCUCCCGGCGGCUACCUUCCCUUCCGUCAUAUGUGUGGUCUCCCACCUUCAGUCCGCAGCUAUCCGGGUUCGGUUAUCGUGUCUGCAUCCAGCAUUGCUUCCCAUAUUGUGUCUCUCGGCGCUCGUGAUCUUCG
rnacentral:misc_RNA from 1 species